CCUAGGGGAGGCAGCAGUAGGGAAUAUUGCGCAAUGGACGAAAGUCUGACGCAGCGACGCCUCGUGAGGGACGGAGGUCUUCGGAUUGUAAACCUCUUUCAGCAGGGACGAAGCGAAAGUGACGGUACCUGCAGAAGAAGCACCGGCUAACUAUGUGCCAGCAGCCGCGGUAAU
rnacentral:rRNA from 1 species